AUUUAUCAGCUGAUCCGCUCAAGAGAUUUUGUCCAGUUUCUGAUAGUGCGAAACACGUCACUGCUUUCUUGUGCUCUUUAACCUCCCUGAUGAUUACUGCUCUCUGGCCUUUUAUAUCCCAUGCCUGUAUAGGAAUACCAGAGUAUUAGGAAUUUUAGUAAAUAAAAAUAUUACACUGUUACUCUCGUUUUAAUAAAUGGUUUUUCGGGGGAAAACAUAGAUUAUUUCCUAAUUACCAAUUAACUAUUUCCAUGCUAAUAUGUGUGUGCUGAUUUAGUAUUAAGGCAAAUAUGUGUUCUACUGUUGACUUAUGAGUUGGAAGGUUUACUGAGAUAUGGAACAUAUCAUUACCCUGAUGGUGCCAUUGAAGUAACCAACAAAGAGCUGCCCUUUAAAGAAUGUUAUAGCAGUUGCUGCUCCAUUGCCAGGUUGGCCAAUCUCUAGGAUUU
rnacentral:lncRNA from 1 species